ACGAGCCGAGCUGCUCGUUAGUCCACCCCUACCAGAGACGGACCUAGGGGAGGCAGGGCGGCAUGGCCCCACCAACACUGGAGGUCGAGGACUCCGAUGAGCACAGGCGUGGGCGCUUGGCCGGGGGAGCCCCGACAGCGAGGCGGGGGCGAGGCAGGGUGCAAGCGCGGGCGAUGUGGCCGUAGAAGCCACAACGACGGCAACGCCAGUCAUGGCGGCACUUGGAGCGAGGGUGCCCUGGGUAGCGGGACUUGGAGAAGACGUCGGAGUCACGACGCGCCGGAGGAGGAGAGGCCGGGCGGCACGGCGGGGCGCUGCGAUGGGGCCUCGGCCGGUGCUGGCGCGGGGAGCGGAGUCGGCGGUCAUGGCGGCCCCUGGCAACCUCCCAGGGCGCCUCAUCAGCGGGCUCCUCCACCGGGAGCACUGGCGGAGCUACUCACGGGCAAAACCGUGCCGUGGCCCGCCCAGCAAAAUUGCCAAACUUUUUUUUAAUACAUAUGCUCAAAGCCCAGCCCACAGCCACAUAGCGCACAGCCCAUAAUCAAUAGCGUCAUGGCCCAAAGCCCCAAACGCUCAGUCCAAUAAAGCUGCACACCGCACCCACCGCUCACAUCCAUCCCCAUCCCCUGUUCGGGGACUCCACUAGGACGACUAGGGCACGGCGCCGGCCGACGGCAGAGGUCCGGCUAGUCGGAGCUAGCCCCUACCCUUCCCAGUAGCAAUCCAUCCCGCAUCCCAGCAUCCUCCAUCUGAUGUGGCCGCAGUAGCUGCAGCGGCGACCCGGCCAGUGGCGAUCCGGCAGCAGCAGCAGCAAGCAGAGUAACAAGCAGCGGCUGCUAUUGAGCUGCCGGUCCUUGUGACGAAUGACCACUCCGGCGUCAUUGCCGUGCUGCAGGUGACCCAGACAUAGGUGAAUUCCUCUCUUGAUUUGUAGAGUACAGUAGUAUGUAACAGCACAGGUGACCCAGGAUCGGAAAGCUGAUUUGUACCAUGAAUCCAUGAUGACCAUGACUGAUGGUAAGCUACUGUGGCUUCUUUUGUUUAGUACUAGUAUAUAUGUACAUAAAUAUGUGUGUGCAUCUUCUAAUCAAUGAGAACAAGUAUGCAGCUCCAUACUGUCUAUGCCUACUGAAAUAGUAUAUGGUUCAAAUUUUCAUAUUUUUUUUGUGCUCUUCAUUAGUUUGGCCCGCCCAGUUUUUUCAUUGUAGCUCCGCCACUGACCGGGAGCACGCGGUGGAUCUCCGAGCGCGGGAUCCGCCUGGGGCGACCACAGUCGCCGGCACAUGGGAAGGCGCGGGCUCGUCGCAGAACGCCUGGCGGUAGGAGCGGAGCGGGCUCACCGAGGGCGGCGGGCUAUCCUCCAGCCAGCGCAGCUCACGGAGACGGCCCCCACCAGAAGGCGCUGGAGAUGACAUGCCCCAGGAGGCGGGCUUCGGCUGGUGGACGCCGGGCCGGAGUGGCCGCCGGCAGUGGCUUGGGGUGGGAGCGGGGAGCAGGUCCGUCGUCGGCCUGUCGUCCUCCGCGACGUGUGUGUUUGUGUUUCAGGCCUCGGAUCGAGAAGAGGUUGUCCUAUCGAUUAGCCUACUUUCAUCCCCGUUGGUUUAACUUGUCUGCAACUGGAAAUUGCUUAAACUUCUCUGCUAAGUGCUGCUGAAUGGCUUGCUUUAUAUUUUCAAUAACCUGGCCGUAUUUUCGACAUGCAGAUCGAUUUUAGUUGCACUGCACAAAAGGAACAUGCGCUUAACUAUGUGCUUUAGAGAUAUAUAAAUGGCAGCAACUAUGGACUCAUGUUUGUUUGUCUGCCGCAACAUCCUAUAUGAGGCGCAGGGGUUACUUAUGAUACCCGUCAAACAUAUAUAUAGAAGUGACAUCGCAUUUCAAGAUUUGUAGACUGCUCGAGAUGACUAGGCGUAGAUACAUAAGUUGGUUGUGGACUUGUAAAACUUUUGUACUAUGUGAACGUCAUUGUAUUACGUGAACUUGUAAAACUGCAAACGAAUAAUAAUGUGUAUGCCUUUGUACUUA